GCCAAAGACCUAGCAUUAUCAUAAUUAACCAAACACAUCUGAUCCACAACAUGAAUGACCAAUUAAAUCAUUUUAGACUUUUAGUAUAGGUGAUAGAAAUAAGUUUUAAUAGCUAUAGAAAAAGUACCGUAAGGGAAAGGUGAAAUAAAAAUGAAACAAAUUACUAAGCAACAAAAAGCAGAGACUUCAUCUCGUACCUUUUGCAUAAUGGUCUAGCCAGUCAUAAUCAAGCAAAACGAAUUUAAGUUUGACCCCCCGAAACUAAGCGAGCUACUCCGAGACAGCUUUUUAGAGCAAACCCGUCUCUGUGGCAAAAGAGUGGGAGGAUCUCCGAGUAGGGGUGACAGACCAAACGAGCCUAGUGAUAGCUGGUUGCUCAGGAAACGAAUAUUAGUUCGACUCUAAGAUGUAUUUUUAACAACAAAAGUAAAAAUUUUAACUUAGGAUUUAUUUAAUCAGGGUACAGCCUGAUUAAAACAGGAUACAGCCUAAAAUACUGGGUAAAGAUUAUAGACAUCAAGGACAUUGAGUUAGUGGGCCUAAAAGCAGCCAUCUAUAAAGAAAGCGUCAAAGCUCGCUCAAACACACAUCCUUUAAUUUAAAUAACCUCUCUAAACCCUCUCAUCUUACUGAGCUAUUCUAUAAACAUAGAAGAACUUAUGCUAGAAUUAGUAAUGUGAAUUCUACUAUUCUCCUAAAUACAAGUGUAAAUCAGAUCGAAUAAAUCACUGAUAUUUAACGUUCUCCCUGAGAGAACUGCAUCAACAACACAAGAAAACCAUGCAAAAAAUAACGUUAAUCUAACACAAGAGUAUUUCUGGAAAGAUAAAAAGACGCAGAAGGAACUCGGCAAAUAUGAACCCCGCCUGUUUACCAAAAACAUCGCCUCUUGCCAACCUACAUGUAUAAGAGGUCCAGCCUGCCCAGUGACUAUAUGUUCAACGGCCGCGGUAUUCUGACCGUGCAAAGGUAGCGUAAUCACUUGUCUUUUAAAUAAAGACUGGUAUGAACGGCACCACGAAGGUUCAACUGUCUCCUGCAUCCUAUCCAUAAAAUUGACCUCCCCGUGCAGAGGCGGGGAUAUAACCAUAAGACGAGAAGACCCUAUGGAGCUUCAAACUAAGGGCAACUGCCAAUAAUCUAUUAAACCGUUAGGAAUUAAUCAGUAAACAAGCAGAUAAAUGACCUAAAGUUUUCGGUUGGGGCGACCAUGGAGAAAAAGAAAUCCUCCUUGAAGAACAGGACAUUCAAUCCUUAACCAAGAAUAACAGUUCUAAGUAACAAAAUUUUAGACUAUAAUUGAUCCAGUCUAACUGAUCAACGAACCAAGUUACCCUAGGGAUAACAGCGCAAUCCAUUUCAAAAGUUCUUAUCGACAAAUGGGUUUACGAC
rnacentral:rRNA from 1 species